GCAGUCGAGCGAGAGAAGGGAGCUUGCUCCCGGAUGUUAGCGGCGGACGGGUGAGUAACACGUGGGUAACCUGCCUGUAAGACUGGGAUAACUCCGGGAAACCGGAGCUAAUACCGGAUAGUUCCUUGAACCGCAUGGUUCAAGGAUGAAAGACGGUUUCGGCUGUCACUUACAGAUGGACCCGCGGCGCAUUAGCUAGUUGGUGGGGUAAUGGCUCACCAAGGCGACGAUGCGUAGCCGACCUGAGAGGGUGAUCGGCCACACUGGGACUGAGACACGGCCCAGACUCCUACGGGAGGCAGCAGUAGGGAAUCUUCCGCAAUGGACGAAAGUCUGACGGAGCAACGCCGCGUGAGUGAUGAAGGUUUUCGGAUCGUAAAGCUCUGUUGUUAGGGAAAAACAAGUGCGAGAGUAACUGCUCGCACCUUGACGGUACCUAACCAGAAAGCCACGGCUAACUACGUGCCAGCAGCCGCGGUAAUACGUAGGUGGCAAGCGUUGUCCGGAAUUAUUGGGCGUAAAGGGCUCGCAGGCGGUUUCUUAAGUCUGAUGUGAAAGCCCCCGGCUCAACCGGGGAGGGUCAUUGGAAACUGGGAAACUUGAGUGCAGAAGAGGAGAGUGGAAUUCCACGUGUAGCGGUGAAAUGCGUAGAGAUGUGGAGGAACACCAGUGGCGAAGGCGACUCUCUGGUCUGUAACUGACGCUGAGGAGCGAAAGCGU
rnacentral:rRNA from 1 species